CUUUUAAAUAAGGCUUUAACUACAGUGCGACAAGGAUCUCUUGGCGCGUGGCUAAAAUUGGAACUAACACCGCCAUCUUGUGAAGUCCAUGGAGAUUUUAUUAGCUGGCAGGCUUUGUU